CAGGACGAACGCUGGCGGCGUGCCUAAUACAUGCAAGUCGAACGGUCUUUCUAUGGAAGCUUGCUUCCACUGAGAAGAUAGUGGCGAACGGGUGAGUAACACGUGGGUAACCUGCCCAUAAGAGGGGGGAUAACAUCCGGAAACGGGUGCUAAUACCGCAUAGUUUUCUUGAUUGCAUGAUUGAGAAAGGAAAGACGGCCUUUGUGCUGUCGCUUAUGGAUGGACCCGCGGCGUAUUAGUUAGUUGGUGAGGUAACGGCUCACCAAGACGAUGAUACGUAGCCGACCUGAGAGGGUGAUCGGCCACAUUGGGACUGAGACACGGCCCAAACUCCUACGGGAGGCAGCAGUAGGGAAUCUUCCGCAAUGGACGAAAGUCUGACGGAGCAACGCCGCGUGAGUGAAGAAAAGGUUUUCGGAUCGUAAAACUCUGUUGUCAGAGAAGAACAAGUUGGAGAGUAACUGCUCCAGCCUUGACGGUAUCUGACCAGAAAGCCACGGCUAACUACGUGCCAGCCGCAGC
rnacentral:rRNA from 1 species